rnacentral:rRNA from 1 species
AUUGAACGCUGGCGGCAGGCUUAACACAUGCAAGUCGAGCGAGCGGCGGACGGGUGAGUAAUGUCUGGGAAAGUGCCUGAUGGAGGGGGAUAACUACUGGAAACGGUAGCUAAUACCGCAUACCAUCAGAUGUGCCCAGAUGGGAUUAGCUAGUAGGUGGGGUAAUGGCUCACCUAGGCGACGCUCCCUAGCUGGUCUGAGAGGAUGACCAGCCACACGGGGACUUGGGCACGGUCCAGAGUCCUACGGGAGGCAGCAGUGGGGAAUUUUUCACAAAGGGCGCAAGCCUGGUGCAGCCAUGCCGGGUGUGUUAAGGAGGCCUUCGGGUUGUAAAGCACUUUCUGCGAGGAAACGUUACUCUCAGAAGAAGCACCGGCUAACUCCGUGCCAGCAGCCGCGGUAAUAC